AAAGUACAAGAGAAAUGUCUUUCGGGACUAUGGACAUAAACGCGCUCGUAAUACGCGGAUCGGACCCGGGGGCGGUACCCGGCGACUCCACCAAACACCGUUCAUUUGACGGAUUCGGGGUCGAAAUAGGAUCGACGAACGUCUAAAGGGGUUAGCUUUGUU
rnacentral:tmRNA from 1 species